GACGAACGCUGGCGGCGUGCCUAAUACAUGCAAGUAGAACGCUGAAGGAGGAGCUUGCUUCUCUGGAUGAGUUGCGAACGGGUGAGUAACGCGUAGGUAACCUGCCUGGUAGCGGGGGAUAACUAUUGGAAACGAUAGCUAAUACCGCAUAAUAGCAGUUAUUGCAUGAUAACUGUUUGAAAGGUGCAAUUGCACCACUACCAGAUGGACCUGCGUUGUAUUAGCUAGUUGGUGGGGUAACGGCUCACCAAGGCGACGAUACAUAGCCGACCUGAGAGGGUGAUCGGCCACACUGGGACUGAGACACGGCCCAGACUCCUACGGGAGGCAGCAGUAGGGAAUCUUCGGCAAUGGACGGAAGUCUGACCGAGCAACGCCGCGUGAGUGAAGAAGGUUUUCGGAUCGGAAAGCUCUGUUGUAAGAGAAGAACGAGUGUGAGAGUGGAAAGUUCACACUGUGACGGUAUCUUACCAGAAAGGGACGGCUAACUACGUG
rnacentral:rRNA from 1 species